rnacentral:rRNA from 1 species
AUUGAACGCUGGCGGAAUGCUUUGCACAUGCAAGUCGAACGGCAGCACGGGGGCAACCCUGGUGGCGAGUGGCGAACGGGUGAGUAAUACAUCGGAACGUGUCCUUUCGUGGGGGGUAACCAGUCGAAAGACUGGCUAAUACCGCAUGAGAUCUCACGAUGAAAGCGAGGGACCGCAAGGCCUCGCGCGAUUGGAGCGGCCGAUGUCGGAUUAGCUAGUUGGCGGGGUAAAAGCCCACCAAGGCGACGAUCCGUAGCUGGUUUGAGAGAACGACCAGCCACACGGGGACUGAGACACGGCCCAGACGCCUGCGGGAGGCAGCAGUGGGGAAUUUUGGACAUUGGGCGCAAGCCUCACCCAGCCAUGCCGCGUGUGUGAAGAAGGCCGUCGGGUUGUAAAGCACUUUCGGCCGGAACGAAAUCGCCUCCGUUAAUAGCGGGGGUGGAUUACGGUACCGGAAGAAGAAGCACCGGCUAACUACGUGCCAGCCGCCGCCGUAA